rnacentral:snRNA from 1 species
GGAUGUGAGAGCAAUCUGGCUGUGACAUGUCACCCCAUUGAUCACCAGCUGCUCUGGCUGGCUAGGCAGAUGUACGCUUCACUUCUCUCACCACCCCAUGUGGAUCCCUCCCGAAGCUGCAAGCUUGGUCUAAGAGGAUGACCACCCCCCAUAGAAGAGGAGAGUUUCCUCUGUCAAAGGUAUAAGAGUAGCUGCGGUCUCUUGCUCAAACCUUCAAAUAAGCUCUCAAGUUGAUUAGGCAGCAGUAGUAGGGAUGAGAAGGAUUAUAGAAGCAUGUAGGAGGAAUAAUUAGUGAAUGAAAAAAU